GGCCCACUAGCCAAACCACCUGGGCACUAGGCCCAAUGUGCAUCUGGAAAGCGCCAGUUCAAAUCUGGUUCGUGAUAAGGCCUUGAUCUAUACAGAUGGGAUCCCGACCUUUUACCUCACAAAGCCAGUGGUACAUUUCUAGACCGUGCUUGUGGUUGUGGGAUUACACAUCGGAGAACUUCUUUCAUUUUGACUAUUCACAGUAGUCGGUCCUAUAAGAUGAGGAGUCAGCUGAUGAAGUCUUGGCAGCGGCUCUGUAGGCUUAUAAUGAUUUCUAGGCCCUUUGGAAA
rnacentral:misc_RNA from 1 species